rnacentral:lncRNA from 1 species
UUUUUAUAUACAUUUAUUCCGUGUUAUAAACUCAUAUACGAAUGAAUUGAUUUAUAUAAUUUUUUUCCAUUUGAUUCCGAGGGUUGAUGAAUUAUUGCCUUUGAUCUAAAGAUGUAUAUUCCAACGUCCCUGACAAUUUUGUUACACAUCUAUUAUUUUCAAUACGUUUAGAAGUUAUUUAAAAACCUUGCUUUCAGCUACUGAAGGCAAUCUUUUUUUUAAAUGACAAGACUAUGUUUAGGCCUCGUUUUGUCAUAUAGCUCUAAAUGUGUUUCUUUUCUGUCAAUCAGCGCAUAUAAUCUUUUGUGAUCUAGACUCAUUAAAUAUAUGUUUUGAAUAUUCCAAUAGCGUUAUAUCUUGGUUGUUUACCUUGUGAUCAUUCCUAUAUAACAUAUUUUAAACGGUUAAGUCAUUAUUCAAGAGAUGCACAAGCACAUGCGUUCUGGAUUAAAUGAUUAUUGUAUUAUGUUUUUUUACUUCUUCUUUUUUGAUUGAGAAUGUUUAUAACAUACAUGCAAAAUUUGCAAUGGACAAUUUACUAGUAUAUACUGUAAUGAAAAGAAAAUAAAAAGAAACGGCGGUAGAUAUAUAUUUUUCAC